UUCAUUGCUUUUGAUGCUGAUUUCUGAUUGUUGUGUUUCGUAAAAAUGCUUCCUUUGACGAAAAAGGGAUGUGUGUUCUUAUUUGAUUGGAAAAAUUUCCCGUUGGAUGGGAGCUGUAUGGGUUCUUGAUUUAAGUAAAAGUAUGGGAAACAUGCUUGAUUUAGGUAUAAAUGGAUUUUGAAAAAAAUAACGGAGGAAGGAAUUAUCAAUGGAAGUGAUCUCGAUCUAUUUUGGUUGGAGACGCUGGGAUAAAAACGAGAUCUUUACUCUAUUUCUGUUCAUAAGUAAUUCCAUUUCCCUGCUAAGUUCUUGGGUGAACGGGUAUAUUGAACUUUUUUCGAUUUUUUUUCCACCUUAACUUUAGUUUUGUAUUGGAAUUGACACUGAAUAUCUUUCCAUGAGCAACCUGGAACUAUAUCCAUUUGGGGAGCAAAUCAGAGCAGUUUUCUGAAAAUAUAAGAGAAAGGAAGCAACAUAGAACUAUCCAUUUGUCUGAAAAAUUCAAAAAAAAAAAAAAACAGCAAGCUAGAAUGAUCCAUCUGUGGAAACAAAAUAAGCAUUGAAGCAUGUUUAUAUGAAAAUUUCUAGUUUUACAUGAAAAACUUCGCAUAUCAUUGCUUUCUCUGUGCAUAGCUGCUAGCAUUGUCAAUUUGAAAAAAUUGUGUGCAUUACAUUUACUGCAAUCAAGUUUUAGGUAAAGUGAAAGAAACAAACUACUUAUACACAUGCAAACAUCGGUAUCAAGGUGCUGAAAGUUCAAGGUUGGGGUCUUGAUUCUAUGUAAUGUAGCGGUCCGAGACUUGAUUAUAUGUUAUGUAUUACUUAACCACUUUAUUUCUCUUAUAUACAAAUUUAGUACUCUUUAUUUAAUUACAAACUGCUCUGGUUCUUGUCCUAUCGUAGCUAUCAGUAUAAAUGAUCGUUAAGUUAGUCUGUGCCUUUGUUUUGCCAAUAGCGACCUCGUUGGUUUUUCUCGCUCCUCAUCUAUUAAGUCCUGAAACGUAGACAACAAGCACACAUGCACAAGGAUGAAAGGAUUGAGGAAGAGUGACAAGCAAAAUAAAUAUUCACUUUAAGUCUCUAAGGAAAUAAUCAUUGGGAGGGUAAUAACGGACUUGAAUAAUAGUUGAAGUCUAAUGUGCAUGAGAUUGCAAACUGUUAUGAGCACUUUAAUGCAGUUGCUCUCAAGUAGCAGCCAGUAGAAUGGAAUGCAUAAACUCCAAAUGCUGACUCCUAUUUGUUUCAUUUUGUUAGCCUUUAAUCCUCUUUUGCCUAAUAAGGGAGAUUAUGUGCUUAUGCUGAAUUCCAUGUUACACUUUCUUACACCGGAUCUUCCUGAAAGGGUUGCAAUCACGUCUCUAAACUAGCCAUCCAAAAUUAGAAGGAACAUAGUAUCUGUACUUGCUGCUAUCUAUUAGUCAAACUAAGUCCAACUAGUGAAAUGAAGCACAUUAUGUAAAUGACGAUUCAGCGAAUCAAGGGAAAAGAAAUUUGAAGAACUUGUCUUGAUAAGCAUUAUUUUACCAGUAAAGUCUUGAUUCUACAUUUAAAUGGUGUCAAAGGUUCUCUGUUAGCAGAAAAUAUAUGAAUGGUAAGCUAAUUUUAACAUCUUUUUUAAUUUUUGAUUCUUUAAAUGUAAAAUUUUGUACUGUACUGGCUUAGAUUAAUUGGUCUCCUUACAUAUAUUUAUGGAGAUUUCAUUUGUGUUGUCAAGAAGAUAAGAAAGAUGUCAAAGAUUCAAUGGAGGAAAGCUUUGAAUAGCCUAGAGCAGACAUCAACUGCCCCACUAGGAACAUUUCAUUCUCCAGUAGUAGAUUGAAGCAAAAUUUGACCAAGGCUGAGAAAGAAGCAAAGAGAAUACGCAGGGUAUUAGCUAAUAGAGAGUCAGCUAGGUGGACAAUUCAUAAGCAGCAGGCCAUUCAUGAGGAGCUGACCAAAAAGGUUGCUGAUUUGUCAGUGGAAAAUAAGAAUAUAAAGAUGGUCGAAAGGUGGUGGCCCUGAUAUGCUGAAAAAGGAAAUUUAUGCAUUAUAUGGGUUCUCUCCUAUCCUUGUGAUGGGCUUAACUGAUCCAACCAUUUAACAAUUUUGUUUAAUAUGUGCGACGGAGGAGUUGGUCAUGAAAGAGUACGUUUGCUCGAAGGACACAAACAAACAACUAAAGGAGCAGAUCGCCAAGACAAUCGAGUGUGAGGUUGGAACAAGUGCAGAGACCAUGUCCAUGCAGGUGGAGAUAUCAUCUUCGUCGACUAAUCUCCCACCAAUGAUAUAUAGCAGACUGCCUUUGGUGCCAUAUGCCUGGCCUCUCUGGCCUUCCAUCUCUCCAAAUGCUAGACCUUGCCAUGAUCAUGAUGAUAGUCCUAGUAUGUUUAGUGGAUCAGUGUCACAAUUCUAUUUGCCACCCUCUGCUUGGUUUUAUCCUUUACUACAUGAGGUAUCUGGAUCCUGCUCUCAACAUUCUCGUUCAUUUACAGGAAGACAUGAAGAUCCUGUCAGCAUACGGCAUGCUUCAGGACAAUCUUACAGAGCACUGGACUGCAGUAAGGAAAUAAAUGUUUCUUCGCCACAAACAAUCGCCGCUGAGAAAGAGGAAAACACUGCUACAAGCAACCAAGGGUUGCUAGGAACAAUCCAAACAGAGCAUCAGAUGUUCAAGUCCUUGUCCAGAUAAACUAGUCCACAUCUUCUCGUGGUAGGAGUUCAGUUUCUCAGCAGAUGUUAAAGGGUGAAUCGGCGACAGGUCAAGACAAUGGAACUUCACUG